CUGAGUGUAGCUACAACUGCCACAAUUGAGGACCCAACACCCCUGACUCUGCUCAUUUGUGGGCAUCCUCAGUCAGAACUUUCCAAAGAGACCCUGCAGACCUCACACAAUCAACAAUGUGGAAGAGGGCACUAGUAUCAGGGGCCAGUAUGACAAUGCGCAAUGUUACACGACCGUUGUCUCAGCCACCCCUUGUCAUAGGAACCCAGUGCCUUUGCUUGGGAAGGACACCAUGAUGAUGUCAUUAACAAUGGCCGCUGGGGUGUGCUGAGAUUUGUGAGGUUGUACUGGGAUAUAUCUCUCACAGCCACUCGCCACCAGAGAUUCUUGAGCUACCCAUCUGGUCAGAGGAGACAUAGGAAAGGAUGACCAGUGGAAUUCGACACUGCCUUUUUGUCGCAGACCACAAGGAGGACUGAGAAACAAAAAUUACAAUGACAACAAUGUAAUGAAUGUUUUUGGAAACUUUCUUAUUUCUUCUUCCUCUUAGAGUUCUGCUUGAUGUGUUCAUCAGUGCACAUCUGUAGUUGUCUCCGAAGGAAAAACUGGAAACUUGUCAUAUAGUUCCCCUCAUAAUGAAACACAGUAUCCACUAGCUUACAUCUCCACCGCAUGACAUAAACCAGUGCAUGUUUUCUAUUCUCAGUGGUUUGGGCAUUUUUUUUGAGAGGUUUUGAAAAAGUUUGUUGGCCAAUGGAAAGAUGGUGCAGUGAGUUGGAAAGUGGAAGAGGAGAAAUUUAUGUGUAGGUCAGCAGGGCUACUGUUACAACCUUUCAGUGUAGCUCAGCAGAGCUACUGUUACAACCUUUCAGUGUAGCUCAGCAGAGCUACUGUUACAACCUUUCAGUGUAGCUCAGCAGGGCUACUGUUACAACCUUUCAGUGUAGCUCAGCAGGGCUACUGUUACAACCUUUCAGUGUGGGUACGGUCACCUUUCAGUGUGGGUACGGUCACCUUUCAGUUAUAGAAAUGGCAAGGUGCUUGUUGUGUAAUGUGCAUCUAUCCUUAGUGUCACUUCUUCUCACUGAUUUGGAAUGGAAUGUUGCAGUGUAGGUGUCAGGCAAAGAGGAAGGAUCCAGGAAAGGAAUGACUGCAUGACACACACACACACACUUGUGUCACCCACUUCUCUGUAUCGGUCAAUGGAGCUAACGAGGUGGCAUUUUAGAUCUGAAAUAAAUGGUUUAUGAUUUUGUC